rnacentral:rRNA from 1 species
UGUCUUCUAAAUAAAGACCUGUAUGAACGGCUAAAUGAGUAUUUAACUGUCUCCUUUAACCAAUCAGUGAAACUGAUUUUUCAGUACAAAAGCUGUAAUAAAUAUAUAAGACGAGAAGACCCUGUGGAGCUUUAAACUUUAAUUAAAACACCAAACAACAAGUGUUUAUAAUGGAAACUUUAAGUUGGGGCGACUUCGGAGAAAAACAAAACCUCCAAGCAAAAAGAUAACACCUAAAUAAGGCUUACAAGCAAAACUAAUAUUGACCCAGUAUUACUGAUCAACGAACCAAGUUACCCCAGGGAUAACAGCGCUAUCUUCUUCAAGAGUCCCUAUCGACAAGAAGGUUUACGACCUCGAUGUUGGAUCAGGACAUCCCAAUGGUGCAACCGCUAUUAAAGGUUCGUUUGUUCAACGAUUAAUAGU